rfam:Pneumocystis jirovecii RT7 supercont1.15, whole genome shotgun sequence.
GGGUUCAUGGUGUAGUUGGUUAUCACACACGCUUUGCAUUUAUAAGAUUGCGUGGGGUCCGGGGUUCGAUUCCCCGUGGAUCCA